rnacentral:lncRNA from 1 species
GAGUGUCAUUUCGUGGUCAGGGCCAGAAAUAAGUUAUCGGGUUUUGAUGUUGUUUCCGGCCCUUCCCUGGUAAGUUUUAAUUGAUUUGAUCGAGUAACAUAAUUUCGAUUCUCCAUAAAUCGAGUCGGUUCGCUUAUUUGGUUGGUCGCACCUCUUCAUUGCUAGGUGAUGCCACUUUUCGUUGGGUAGUGCCCUUUCCCCCCAGACAGGUUGUGGUCAUAUGACUUCAA